GAUGAACGCUGGCGGCGUGCUUAACACAUGCAAGUCGAGCGAUGAAGUUUCCUUCGGGAAACGGAUUAGCGGCGGACGGGUGAGUAACACGUGGGUAACCUGCCUCAUAGAGUGGAAUAGCCUUCCGAAAGGAAGAUUAAUACCGCAUAAUGUUGAAAGAUGGCUUCAUCAUUUAACCAAAGGAGCAAUCUGCUAUGAGAUGGACCCGCGGCGCGUUAGCUAGUUGGUGGGGUAACGGCCUACCAAGGCGACGAUGCGUAGCCGACCUGAGAGGGUGAUCGGCCACAUUGGGACUGAGACACGGCCCAGACUCCUACGGGAGGCAGCAGUGGGGAAUAUUGCACAAUGGGGGAAACCCUGAUGCAGCAACGCCGCGUGAGUGAUGAAGGUUUUCGGAUCGUAAAGCUCUGUCUUUGGGGAAGAUAAUGACGGUACCCAAGGAGGAAGCCACGGCUAACUACGUGCCAGCCGCCGCAGUAA
rnacentral:rRNA from 1 species